rnacentral:rRNA from 1 species
AUUGAACGCUGGCGGCAUGCCUUACACAUGCAAGUCGAACGGCAGCAUGAUCUAGCUUGCUAGAUUGAUGGCGAGUGGCGAAUGGGUGAGUAAUACAUCGGAACGUGCCCUGUAGUGGGGGAUAACUAGUCGAAAGAUUAGCUAAUACCGCAUACGACCUGAGGGUGAAAGUGGGGGACCGCAAGGCCUCAUGCUAUAGGAGCGGCCGAUGUCUGAUUAGCUAGUUGGUGAGGUAAAGGCUCACCAAGGCGACGAUCAGUAGCUGGUCUGAGAGGACGAUCAGCCACACUGGGACUGAGACACGGCCCAGACUCCUACGGGAGGCAGCAGUGGGGAAUUUUGGACAAUGGGGGCAACCCUGAUCCAGCAAUGCCGCGUGUGUGAAGAAGGCCUUCGGGUUGUAAAGCACUUUUGUCCGGAAAGAAAUCGCACUUACUAAUAUUAGGUGUGGAUGACGGUACCGGAAGAAUAAGGACCGGCUAACUGCGUGCCAGCCGCCGCCGUAAUAC